ACAAAGCAGGGAUGGAGGACCCAGCAGCAAUCUGAAAAUGAUGGUAUGGUAUGAUUCCAACUGUAUGACAUUCUGGAAAAGGGAAACCUAUAGAGACAGUAAAAGGAUCAAUGGUUUUCAAGAGCUGGUG